GAGACAUUGUGUGUGUGAGAGAGAGAGGUGUGUGAGAGAGGAGAGAGACAUUGUGUGUGUGAGAGAGACAGAGGUGUGAGAGAGAGAGGUGUGAGAGAGAGAGGGGAGAGAGAGGGGAGAGACAUUGUGUGUGAAAGGGAGGUGUGAGAGAGAGAGGUGAGAGAGGAGAGAGACAUUGUGUGUGAGAGAGAGAGGUGUGUGAGAGAGAGGAGAGAGACAUUGUGUGAGUGAGAGAGAGAGAGGUGAGAGAGAGGUGUGAGAGGGAGGAGAGAGACAUUGUGUGAGUGAGAGAGAGAGGUGAGAGAGAGAGGUGUGUGAGAGAGAGGAGAGAGACAUUGUGUGAGUGAGAGAGAGAGAGGUGAGAGAGAGAGAGGUGUGAGAGGGAGAGGUGUGAGAGGGAGGGAGGGAGGUGUGUGUAGAGCGGCUCUGCGUCUGGUCAGCUGUGGCCUCUGGCCCUCUCCAACAUGCAGGCCCGGGUCCGGUCUCGCUCCCUGUCCCGU